UGCGGGGUGGAGCAGUGGCAGCUCGUCGGGCUCAUAACCCGAAGGUCACAGGUUCGAAUCCUGUCCCCGCUA
rnacentral:tRNA from 3 species